GGGAAGGUAGCUCAGUGGUAGAGCACUUGCCUGGCAUGCAUGAAGCUCAGGGUCCCAUCCUC
rnacentral:tRNA from 1 species